CUGAAUGAGGUUUGAAGCCUGCUGUCACACGCGCCAGUGCUUGUACCUAUCCUGGCUGAAAAGGCAUCGGGUCUAAACUUCUGUCAGCAACUAUUGCAUGAAAAUGAAUUUCAUACUCCAGUAGUGUUACCAAACUACAUUUCCCCAUCAUGGUAGCCUAAGCCAGGAAGUGGAGAAAAGAGAAGGAUGUCAUUAAGUGGAAAAUAAUCAGGGCAUUUUGAGAGUGGUGUUUUUGGCCGUCGAGAUAAGUCAGUCAUUCUGAGGUAUGGAUGGACAGAGAGCAAGCACUGGCAAGAACAAGAAGAGACGAAUAGGUCGGGCUCUCUCUGUGGGUAUAAAACUCUGAGCAGUUCACUUCAAUUCAUUGGAUCUUGGUGGGCCUCAGACCCACUAAUUACUAUAGUUUCUUGAGGCCUCAAGGUUCAUUUUCUAAAGAAGAACUCCGGCCACGUUCAUUUAUAGCUAUCUUUUAAAAAUACCCAAAUCUGGCUGCGCAGUGGCUCACGCCUGUAAUCCCAGCACUUUGGGAGGGUGAGGUGGGAGGAUUGCUUUAGACCAGCAUGGGCAACACAGCAAGACCCCAUCUCUACAAAAAAUAAAUAAAUAAAUAAAAAUUAGCUGGGUGAAGUUGUGUGUGCCUAUAGUUCCAGCUACUCAGGAGGUUGAGGCAGGAGAAUUGCUUGAGCC
rnacentral:lncRNA from 10 species